rnacentral:ncRNA from 1 species
UGUUCCAGAAUAAUCGGCUAGACUUUAUAAGCUUGUACUCUAAUUGUUGUUAAUCUUGAAUUUUCGGAGUGUACUUUUGAUUUUAUGGUGAAAUUGAAGAUUUUUGUGUGUGUGUGUUUAAGAUUAUAAGAUUUAGUGAACGAACCAGAUUAGUACCUGGUUAGAUAAAAAUUAAAAGAGCAGGAGUAAAGUUGAGUUUAAACUGUAAUAAUAUUGGCAGGCUUUUAAAUUAUCUUUGGAGGCUGAGUAGUAAUUGAGAGCCCUCAUUUACAACUCUUAUUUUGGGCUCAUGUAUGAUCGUUUAUUUUAUUCUUAAGGAUUGUAAUUUUAGUUUUUAUCUGUUAAAAUAGAUAUAUACUUGGUUUAUAUAGGAGGUUAAUUUGGCCUACAAUGUUGUAUUUUUUGGAUAGUGCCGGCAGUUGGUACUUGAAAUUGUAAAAGACAGUAAAGUCCCUUUAAUGGGGGAUUGAAGUUUAUUUAAAAGCGGUACAAAUCAUCCAUCAAUUGCCUAUAGGGGAGUAAGUUGUAGUAA